UAGGGAAUCUUCGGCAAUGGACGGAAGUCUGACCGAGCAACGCCGCGUGAGUGAAGAAGGUUUUCGGAUCGUAAAGCUCUGUUGUAAGAGAAGAACGAGUGUGAGAGUGGAAAGUUCACACUGUGACGGUAUCUUACCAGAAAGGGACGGCUAACUACGUGCCAGCAGCCGCGGUAAUACGUAGGUCCCGAGCGUUGUCCGGAUUUAUUGGGCGUAAAGCGAGCGCAGGCGGUUAGAUAAGUCUGAAGUUAAAGGCUGUGGCUUAACCAUAGUACGCUUUGGAAACUGUUUAACUUGAGUGCAGAAGGGGAGAGUGGAAUUCCAUGUGUAGCGGUGAAAUGCGUAGAUAUAUGGAGGAACACCGGUGGCGAAAGCGGCUCUCUGGUCUGUAACUGACGCUGAGGCUCGAAAGCGUGGGGAGCAAACAGGAUUAGAUACCCUGGUAGUCCACGCUGUAAACGAUGAGUGCUAGGUGUUAGACCCUUUCCGGGGUUUAGUGCCGUAGCUAACGCAUUAAGCACUCCGCCUGGGGAGUACGACCGCAAGGUUG
rnacentral:rRNA from 1 species